UACGUAGGCAGCGAGCGUUGUUCGGAGUUACUGGGCGUAAAGGGUGUGUAGGCGGUUUUCUAAGUUUGGUGUGAAAUCUCCCGGCUUAACCGGGAGGGUGCGCCGAAAACUGGGAGACUAGAGUGCGGGAUGGGAGAGUAGAAUUCCUGGUGUAGCGGUGAAAUGCGUAGAUAUCAGGAGGAACACCGAUGGCGAAGGCAGGUCUCUGGGCCACUACUGACGCUGAGAAGCGAAAGCAUGGGGAGCGAACAGG
rnacentral:rRNA from 1 species